UCAUUCAUGAGUUUGUUGGCUAGCCAGCAACAAUACUACAGCAACUACUCACAGGCAAUUAAUUGAAAAAACGCGCAGCACAAAUCCAAAUAGGUACUUUUACGCAAUUGGCGGUGUGGUGCACACCAGACUGCUCAUUGAUAUGUUGACGGGAAAUCCGGGGAGCUGUGUUUCCGAAGAAAAAGCCAGGUGCGACCAAACGCGGGUCCGUCCACCGCGCAGUCCAACAAACUCCCUCCCCCUUCCUUGGCAUCACCUUCACUCGCUCGUGGUUCGUUCGUCUUUCCCCCUUCCCCCCACCAAAAGCCUCGGGACGGACCCCUGGUAGCACCACACAGCACCAGUUUUGGGAUUCUACCUUUUCGACUUUGCAAGGGCUGGCGGCUUCUGGGCACUUUUCUUCUUCUCCCCUAAUUUAUCCUUCGUCUUUUUCUCAAUCCGACGUGCCGCUACACCCGGUGCCCCGCGUUCCACAGCCGUGCCGCCACACCCAACCGCACUUCCACCACCACCCUGCACGGUCUUUCCCUUGGUCUUCUGCACUUUACCGGCAGCGGCCGCCGCUGCCAGAGAAGCUUUCACCGCCGCUAUGCCGGCAUUGCCAUUCGCUGUCUUCAAGCCAGCGGCCGUGAUAGCCUUCUUGUUGCCUUUGUCUGCAUCUCCGCGUUGAGGCUUUUGUUCGGCAGCGGCUUCGUCUGCCCGCUGCUGGCGGCGCCCUUUCUGACCAUCGUCGCCGGCACCGUCUGCGGUGUCCUCUAUAGCCGUCUUGGCCACCACCCUCGGGCUCUUCCUGGCCUCCGCCUGCUUGGCCUCCUUCCCCCCCUCUCUCUGCGGGCGCGGUGCUGACGGCGUCUUCUGCACAGCCGCUGCCGCCGUAGCCGCAACAGGAGCAUCCGCCCCGCCGUUAGCAGUUGCCUCUCUGCAAGCGCAACGCGGAACGAACAGUGAAAUAAAAAGCUUUGGAAAAAAAGCACCAUAAGCACAUGAAAAUAUAGUAGCACCGACCCGUCGUAAUCUUUCUGGCGGUACCCCCUAACCUGUGCAGGCUCGCCAAAUUACCUGAAUCCUUGAGAACAUAUACGGAAGGCGACAACACCUCUCAAAUCCCCUUUCCGGGGGCCCCUUCCAAGGCCAGGCCUCCCGAUAUCGGUGUCCCCCAACCCUUUACUCCGCACGGAAAGGACUGCAACGUCAUGUACCCACCUCGUUGAUCCCCCCUCGGACUUCUUCCGCUUCUUCACUGACCGCUGCGUCCCCCGAUCCUCCCGCUCCUCUUCCGCUGCUGCCGCUGUCGCUGCCGCCGCAGCAGCACCGCCACUUGACGUCCGUUUUUUCUCCGUCUCCUUCUGCUCCGUUUUCUUUUUCUUUGCCUCGCUAUGCCCUGAGCCGACCUCGCAUUUAUCCGCACUGUCCUUGCCGACAUCCCGUCUCACCGUUGCCAUCGCUUGCGGCUGUGGUUGCGGUGUAAACUCAGCUGCCGCUAUCGUACUCGCCUCCGAAGCCCUCUUUUUCUGUUUCUUCUGCUGCUUCUGUUCCUCCUCCAGCUCCAUCCGCGCCGGCUUGUGCUGCUCCUCGUCCUUCCCCUCCUCCUCCUCCUCGUCCCGCUGCGCUACCCCCCCUUUCCCUCCUGCUCCCUUCCGUUUGCCCCCCUCCUCAGCCCCCAGCAGCCGCCUGACGGCCGC
rnacentral:lncRNA from 1 species